UACAGAGGUCUCGAGCGUUAGGCGGAAUCACUGGGCUUAAAGCGUGUGUAGGCGGAUCGUUAAGUGCCUUGUGAAAUCCCACGGCUUAACCGUGGAACUGCUUGGCAUACUGGCGGUCUUGAGCAACCUAGGGGCGAGCGGAACAAAUGGUGGAGCGGUGAAAUGCGUAGAGAUCCGGAGGAACACCAGUGGCGAAGGCGACACGCUGGGCCGUACCUGACACUGAUGCGCGACAGCAUGGGGAGCAAACAGG
rnacentral:rRNA from 1 species